AACGAACGCUGGCGGCAGGCCUAACACAUGCAAGUCGAGCGAAGCCUUCGGGCUUAGCGGCGGACGGGUGAGUAACGCGUGGGAACGUGCCCUUUGGUACGGAAUAGCCCCGGGAAACUGGGAGUAAUACCGUAUGUGGUCGAGAGACGAAAGAUUUACCGCCAAAGGAUCGGCCCGCGUUGGAUUAGGUAGUUGGUGGGGUAUGGCCUACCAAGCCAACGAUCCAUAGCUGGUUUGAGAGGAUGAUCAGCCACACUGGGACUGAGACACGGCCCAGACUCCUACGGGAGGCAGCAGUGGUGAAUCUUAGACAAUGGGGGAAACCCUGAUCUAGCCAUGCCGCGUGAUCGAUGAAGGCCUUAGGGUUGUAAAGAUCUUUCAGUGGGGAAGAUAAUGACUGUACCCACAGAAGAAGCCCCGGCUAACUCCGUGCCAGCCGCCGCAGUAACAC
rnacentral:rRNA from 1 species